rnacentral:rRNA from 1 species
GAUGAACGCUGGCGGCGUGCCUAAUACAUGCCAGUCGAGCGAACAGACGAGGAGCUUGCUCCUCUGACGUUAGCGGCGGACGGGUGAGUAACACGUGGAUAACCUACCUAUAAGACUGGGAUAACUUCGGGAAACCGGAGCUAAUACCGGAUAAUAUAUUCAACCGCAUGGUUCAAUAGUUAAAGAGGGUUUUGCUGUCACUUAUAGAUGGAUCCGCGCCGCAUUAGCUAGUUGGUAAGGUAACGGCUUACCAAGGCAACGAUGCGUAGCCGACCUGAGAGGGUGAUCGGCCACACUGGAACUGAGACACGGUCCAGACUCCUACGGGAGGCAGCAGUAGGGAAUCUUCCGCAAUGGGCGAAAGCCUGACGGAGCAACGCCGCGUGAGUGAUGAAGGUCUUCGGAUCGUAAAACUCUGUUAUUAGGGAAGAACAAAUGUGUAAGUAACUAUGCACGUCUUGACGGUACCUAAUCAGAAAGCCACGGCUAACUACGUG